UGGGGGAUAUUGCACAAUGGGCGCAAGCCUGAUGCAGCGACGCCGCGUGGGGGAUGAAGGCCUUCGGGUUGUAAACUUCUUUUGCUCUGAACAAGGCGCACUUUGGGGUGUGUUGAGUGUUGGGGUUGAUUAGCGCCAGCUAACUACGUGCCAGCAGCCGCGGUAAUACGUAGGGCGCGAGCGUUGUCCGGAAUUAUUGGGCGUAAAGGGCUUGUAGGUGGCUGGUUGCGUCUGUCGUGAAAGCUCAUGGCUUAACUGUGGGUUUGCGGUGGGUACGGGCUGGCUUGAGUGCAGUAGGGGAGGCUGGAAUUCCUGGUGUAGCGGUGGAAUGCGCAGAUAUCAGGAGGAAUACCGGUGGCGAAGGCGAGUCUCUGGGCUGUUACUGACACUGAGGAGCGAAAGCAUGGGGAGCGAACAGG
rnacentral:rRNA from 1 species